rnacentral:rRNA from 1 species
CACGGAAUUAGCCGGUCCUUAUUCAUGAGGUACAUGCAAUGGCGCACACGUGCGCCAAUUUAUUCCCACAUAAAAGCAGUUUACAACCCAUAGGGCCGUCCAUCCUGCACGCUACUUGGCUGGUUCAGACUUGCGUCCAUUGACCAAUAUUCCUCACUGCUGCCUCCCGUAGGAGUUUGGACCGUGUCUCAGUUCCAAUGUGGGGGACCUUCCUCUCAGAACCCCUACUGAUCGUCGCCUUGGUGGGCCGUUGCCCCGCCAACAAGCUAAUCAGACGCAUCCCCAUCCCUUACCGGAAAACCUUUGUUCAUAUCGGAUGCCGUCAAUGAAACACAUCGGGUAUUAGGCCGUCUUUCAACGGGGUAUCCCCGAAGUAAGGGGCAGGUUGGAUACGCGAUACUCACCCGUGCGCCGGUCGACGUCCAGAAUGUGCAAGCACAUAAUGCCGUUUCCCCACGACUUGCAUGUGUUAAGCCUGUAGCCAGCGUUCAUCCUGACGCCAGGACUA